rnacentral:rRNA from 1 species
GAUGAACGCUGGCGGCGUGCCUAAUACAUGCAAGUCGAGCGAACAGACGAGGAGCUUGCUCCUCUGACGUUAGCGGCGGACGGGUGAGUAACACGUGGAUAACCUACCUAUAAGACUGGGAUAACUUCGGGAAACCGGAGCUAAUACCGGAUAAUAUAUUGAACCGCAUGGUUCUAUAGUGAAAGACGGUUUUGCUGUCACAUAUAGAUGGCUUGGCGCGGCAUUGGCUAGUUGGUAAGGUAAGGGCUUACAAAGGCAACGAUGCGUAGCCGACCUGAGAGGGGGAUCGGCCACACUGGAACGGAGAAACGGUCCAGACUCCUACGGGAGGCAGCAGUAGGGAAUCUUCCGCAAUGGGCGAAAGCCUGACGGAGAAACGCCGCGUGGUUGAUGAAGGUCUUCGGAUCGUAAAACUCUGUUAUUAGGGAGGAACAAAUGGGUAAGUAACUAUGCACGUCUUGACGGUACCUAAUCAGAAAGCCACGGCUAACUACGUG